UGACUAUUUCUUUGUCAAUAAAGUUUAGAUAGAGUGGACUCUGGCAAUAUCGGCCUCUAUAAACACCGGCACUCUGCCUACAUCAGCACAAAGUUUCAGUCCCGGCAGAAAUGCACUUAAUUAUCAUUUAGAUACAUCUGUAAACAUCAGCAUCUGUCUACUCAGGAUAUCGGCAUUGUUUUUCAGUCCCAACGAACAAGUUGUUAUGAAAACGAAUCUGUAAAAACCGGCA